rnacentral:rRNA from 1 species
UUCGCAAUGCCCGAAAGGGUGACGAAGCGACGCCGCGUGAGCGAAGAAGGCCUUCGGGUUGUAAAGCUCUGUCAGGAGUUAAGAAAUGUAGAUACGCUAAUAUCGUAUCUAUUUGACAAAGGCUCCAAAGGAAGCCACGGCUAACUCUGUGCCAGCAGCCGCGGUAAUACAGAGGUGGCAAGCGUUGUUCGGUAUUAUUGGGCGUAAAGAGCACGUAGGUGGUUUUGUAAGUCAGGUGUGAAAGCCUUCUGUUCAAAGGAAGAACGGCAUCUGAAACUACAGAUCUUGAGUGUAGGAGGGGAGAGUGGAACUUCUGGUGGAGCGGUGAAAUGCGUAGAUAUCAGAAGGAACGUCGGCGGCGAAAGCGACUCUCUGGCCUAUUACUGACACUGAGUGUGCGAAAGUUAGGGGAGCAAACGGGAUUAGAUACCCCGGUAGUCCUAACCGUAAACGAUGGGCACUAAGUAGAGGGGUUUU